UACCACUGUACUCAAAUUAUCACACAAGGAACUUGUCACUUUUUUCUGGUAGUGGCAAGAUUGCCUAUAGCAUGAGACUAAAAAAGGAAGCUCACCUAUAGAUCACACAGUGGAAGCAGAAUGUAUAAACUGCUUUAUCUGAGAAGCUAAGAGAAUACAUGCCCUGAAUCGAUGCUUCGGAUAUGGAUGGUUUUGUUGAAAUACGGCACCUUUUUUUUAAUAAAACAUUCAAUUGAGCUUCUCGGACGACUGGCGCCCACAAACUACGUGUAUGGAUUUAUGGGAGAAUUUGACACUAUAAUAGUCUUCUGCUCUGGGGGUGGGUGGGGAGAAACCAAUUGUUUUGAUAAUAUUUGUGUUUAUAUUCUUUUCUUGAAAAUGAAUAAAAUGCUUU